AGAUUGCAUGUGAGUGAGAGCGAACGAGGAUCCGAAAGGGUGUACACAACUUCAAUAUUACCUCCGCAGUUGGCACUAUAAACCACAUUCAAUACAGUUGUAUCACAAUUGUAUAACAGAUUUAGUUGAGAAGAAACACUACCAUAAGGUUGAAACUGGUCAGCGCUCUCAAAUGUGCUGUUAUUAGGCUUGUCACUCACACUCACACUCACAGUACAAAUACCACCCCAGUAAUCGUCUCUAGCGACUGUGAGUUUCUGUGUUGUAUUGUCCCAUUCAAGAAUACGGUAUUUGACGUCAUUGAUGGUUAUCUUUGGAACACUUUCUUCGCAUGUAAGCUCCAUAUUAGGAUCAGAAACACUACCACAACGCUCUUCUCUGUUAUUUCCCCAGAAUGGAUACUUGAGGUUUGUGAUGCUGCUACUUCCGCAUUCAAAAGCUUCGUUGCAGUCUGUGUAAUCAUUGCACAUACACGUUGGAAUAUUGAUGAUGAAGAUCAUCAAAAUGGUGAAGGAGAAAAAUGAAAUAAUAAUGGAAGAAGAUGGAUAAUGAAGCAGAGGUUUCAUUUUUGCCACUAGACCAAAGAUGAAAUAGUGGGACAAGUGUGAAUAAUAUGAUUGAUUUUGGUGAGAUAAAGAUAAAUAAUCAUUUUGUCAGCUUAAAAUUUAGAAUAUUCAACUCCCAUUUCACUUUCAUUUUAAUUCAAUUCAAUGCAUGAUUAUUUUCGAUUUCUUUGAAGUUUCUGCGAGACUGGAUCGAAGCUACUGCCAAUGUAGAAUUUAAUACACGAAGAACUUUGUUUUAGUCGUUGUAUUGCCAAUGUAGAAUUUAUAUUAAUUAUUUAUUGGGUCAUGCUGAUGUGUGUUCUUAUAACGCAUGUUAAAUAUUAAAUUCCUUGCCAUUAAUGAUAAGAAUUAAUUAAAAAAAAUUAAUAUUAAACUUUGACUGAUGCUAGUCACACAAAAAAAAAACAAAUUACAUCCAAAUUUAUUUAAAAUUUUACAAUAAUACCAAAAUUGUCCUCUUCAUGUAAAUUUUUAAAAAUUCAUCUUUUAUGAUCAUUCUGAACCCUUACUCCCUUUCAUCCACAAAUCACCAUAGAUGUGCAACCAAUAUCUGAAUCAACAUCUUUGUUAUUGAUCUGUACUAUAUUCAUAAAGGUUAGUGAAUUUCAUAAAUUUCAUUUUCGAUGAGUUUCUAUUUGUUUAUUGUUUGUUUUGAUAUGAGAUAUGCCUGUCAAUUUGAUUUUAAGUGGGAGGUUAGUGUAAAUUAAGUUUACGUGUAUGUAUAUAAAAGGGGUUAGUGUAGUUUACGUAUGUAGGUUAAUGUAAAUUCAAGUUUACGUAUGUUCAAUUUAGGUUAGUGUAAAUUCAGUUUACAUGUAAAUUAAGUUUAUUUAUGUUCAAUUUAGGUUAAUGUAAAUUUAGUUUACGUAUGUAUAUAAGAGGUUAGUGUAAAUUCAGUUUACUUACGUUCAAUCUAGGUUAAUGUAAAUUAAGUUUACUUAUGUUCAAUCUAGGUUAAUGUAAAUUCAGUUUAAUUACGUUCAAUCUAGGUUAAUGUAAAUUAAGUUUGUAAAUUCAGUUUACUUACGUUCAAUCUAGGUUAAUGUAAAUUAAGUUUACUUAUGUUCAAUUUAGGUUAAUGUAAAUUAAUUUUACUUAUGUUCAAUUUACGUUAAUGUAAAUUUAGUUGAUUUGAAAUUUUUAUUUUAGUUAAAGGGUAUAUUAGUCAUUCUGGGGUGUAACUUGUUUUUUUGGGGUGUGACUAGCACCAGUCUUAAACUUUUUGAACAAUAAAUUAACACAAUUUUCGAUACAUAAUUUCUAUUAGUAAAUUUUUUAACAUUAAACACAAUUUAGUAUUUCCCUUAUUUAUUUACCAAUAGUAUGUUAGUACUUAUUUAUUUUACAUAUUUUUUCAAUCAACAAUAUUAAUAAAUAUCUUGAAGAUAUAAACUACUCCUAAUUCUCUAUCUUAAAAUAUAUAAUCGUAAUAACUAACGGUCAUUACAAACAAAUUUAAUCUUAGCAAUAAGCAACCGAAGACUUCUUACUUUUCAUUUUUCUUGUGCUUCGUGUUUUAAUCUUGAUUUAUGAUCAAGACUUGAAAAUUGAACUAUUGUGAAUAAAUUACACUUAACUGCUUGCUUUAACCAAAAGUUUAGAGCAACUGAUUUUAUUUUUUUGUAUCUUUUUCUUUGAUUGUGAUUUAUUUUUUUAAAGGAUUCUUUGUUUGUGAUUAUAUUGUCGGGAAGCAUAGCAUAGUCCAAACCUAACUCUUUUAGCAAGCAUAGAAUAGUCCAAACUUGACUAGACUCCUAAAUUUUGAUUAUAAAAUCAAGAAUAAUGUGGUACCAAAUGAUAGUAUAAUCAAGAAUAGGUCAGACGCAUUGUAAAAAAAUAAAUAAAAAUAUAUUAGUCAGAUAUUUUGUAAAAAAAAAAAUUAGGUAUCAAUAUCUUAAAUUGACUUCCUCUAAAAAAAAUCAUAGAUUAACAAUAAAUCAACAUUAAGAGUACUUAUUCAAAAUUGUCUAUGUGUUUUGACAUUUGUGUCUAAUCUUAUUAUUUUAUCAUUAUUGUAAAGUAGUAUCAGAAAGAGUAUGGAAAGAGAGAAGUUGAUGAGAAAGAGAGUAGAUUUCACAUAUAGUGUUUGGUACUAAAAAGAAAGGAGAGGAAUAGAGGAGAAGAAAAUGAAGAAAACCUAACGUUUUUGAAUUAAAACUAAUCGAAAGGACCAAAAUGUGUAACGGAGAAAAGUUAUGGGACCAAAAUAAAUCAAAUUUUACUUGAGGGUCCAAAACGAUACUACCUGAAUAAUUAAGGUACUAAAAAUGCAAUUUAGCCAUUAAUUAAAUAAAUAGUGGCCGCAUAUCAAGAGGCAUAUCAAAACCAGGGAGAAAUAUGGAAAAGAAGAAAAAAUUGCAGCUCCCCUCCAUUUCUUCGUACAUGCAAAGAGAAAUGCAAAAGGCAUGGGUCCCACCUAAUUUUAUCUCUCUUCUUAGUCUCUCUUCUCAACCAAACACAAGAGAUUGGUUAUCUCUCCCCAACUUCUCUCUCCCCUCUUUCUCUCUUUCUUAUUUCUACUCUACCAAACACAGUGUAAGUCUUAAUAAGUUAAGAGAGUUAAGCAUGUGAAAAAUGAUUCAUUAUAAACUCAAUGAUUCAUGUUCCUUGGAUCCACUCUCCCUCCCACAUCAAGGAGGAUCAUAGCAAAUUUCUAAUAAAAAUCAUAAAAUUUUGAAAAAUGCUAACAAUUGUUUUUAUAGCAUUGUUUAACGAACUAAAAAAGAUAACUUUUGAUUAGAAAAUGAUAUAAUUAUUAUUUAUACAAUUCUUUAACUUAUUAUAUCAAUAUAUGAUUUAUUAUUAUGUAUUUCUUAAAUAAUAACUUUAGUACACAUGUUAGCAUGACUCACUUAUAAUGAGUUACAUAUCUAUUAUAUUUUCAAUUUAUAGUUCAUUCCUAUGUCACACUUGAAUUUCAACAUACACCAUCUCCUUUCUAAUAAUAUUAGAACUUAAAAAGAAUAAUUCACAUAGUCAAAAUUAUAUGGAGUGCUGUUUUAUAGAGGAGAAAGACCAACUAGUUAUAUUAUAGUUAUAGUUUAGUACAAAUACUCCCCAUUUAUUAUUCACAUAAGGGGGGAAAGAUUUCGGUUCUGUAAGACAAGAAAAGUACACCCUUAUUUCGGUCAUAACAAUAAAUGUAUAGCUAAGCCACAAACGGGGAAAAGUACAUUUGAUCUUAGUUAUGAUAAAUCAUCCCACAUUACCCAGCCCUAAGCAUAAAGUGUAUUAAAAUCUAAAAUGUCUAUUUGAGAGAAAUUUAUAUUCAAUAAUGCACGUAGUAGGCCUGCAUUUUUACACCUUAUAAAUAAAUAGGGAAUUAGAGAGCACCACAGUGAUGUGCACUUCUUGAGAGGACUUGUACAAGACAAUGCAAACAAAACAACCGAACGAUUUGGUCAUACAUACAACUAGAUUACUUGAAAUCUUAAACAGAUACUGAACCAGUGAACCCUCUAUUGCGAAGAUUGUCAUUAUCCUAAGCAACGGUUCUGACCUUAGUCAACAAAAGCAAUGCUACCUUACAAUUAAUAAAUGAUUGAAGCUUUGUUUUCUUUGGUUCCAAUCAUGGUUCUAUAACAUACCGUAAGAGUGUAAACAUUCCUAAGUACGGAUUAAUUUCAUAAUCUCUGAGCAAUUUGUUCAGCCACUUGAUCCAAGUUUAAUGUGACAUCACUCUUUUUUAAGUCGAGUGAUUAAACUAUGAGAGGAAGGCACAAAUAAAAGAAGCACAUUAAAAAAAAGAUGUAUAGAGGAAAACAUAAACUUGUGGGUUGCUUAAGUGUAUGUUUACUUCCACUUUUAAAGGGAACAUAAUUGAUUUUGAAGUUGUAUAAUUAAUUUUGACAUGUUGGCUUGUUGCAAAGUAGAAUUGAUUUUGUCUCUUGAAUUGAUUCUCAUUAAAGCUAGGAUUUGUAGCCUUUGGUUAUAAAAUUGAUUUUCACGCAAAUUUAUAGUUCAACGGUAUUUAAACACAAAUCACUUCUAGUAAAAAUAUUCAAACACAAAUCACUUAUAAUAAAAAUGACUUUUAACCAAAAUCAAUUCUACAGAAUUAAUUCUAUCAAAAUCGAUUAUUUCCACCACACAACCAAACACAGACCAAGUAUGUUAAAUCUAAUAACUGGUGUGUCAGUACAAAACUAGAACUUUGAAUAAUAAUAGUAUAAUGAUUUUUUCUAGAUUACCUUCGAAGAAUGGUGGGUAAUUUACCCACCAACUAAUGAAAAUGAGCAAUUUGUUGGUGGGAUCAAGAUAGUUCAUGGAUACCACUUAAAAAUGUGCUUAUGUGACUAAUGUAUAUUGGUUGGAGUAAAUUACCACCAUUCUUCCAUGGGUAUCCUAGUUGUCACCUGGUAUAAUACUACGAAAAAGAAUAAUAAUACUACGAAAAAGUUAUCUUAGAAGGCAAAUGGAGACAAUCUUUGUAACAAGGCAUCAUCGAUUCCUACACAGCAGCAAUUCCAAUAAAAAGAAAAAAUAUACACGAUAAGGAAAAUGUUAACCAUUGUCCUUAAAUAAGGAGAUAAAAAUAAAAAUAUAAUAUUAAAAAAUGAUGAAAAGUGAUAAAUUUAACUUUUUAAAAAUCAAAAUGUUGUUGAAACCAAUGCAAACUCAUACUGUAUUUAACUUUUUGGCUUCUUUAAUCAAUGCCUUGUGAGCAUUGCGGACAAUGGUUAGCAAACCCAUAUUCUAAUUAUAAUUAUACCAACUAUUCUAUUUAUCAAUCACUUCAUUAAUCAAUCAGUGCAUUUCUUCUAUUCAUUAAUAAUUCUUCUAUUUAACCAAAUAUUUUGACUCCAUUAAGAGUAAUUAACCAUCAAACGCACAAAAUUCAGCAAACGACGUCGUACAUUAUUAAAGCGCCCAUUUCCGCCAAACGUUAGUUUCGUUAACUUUUUACCAGAAACAUUUCCGCGCACGUUAGCAGCAAAAACUAAACGUGAUUAUUUAUUCAUUUGGCUACAACUAAACGUGAUUAUUAAUAAUUUUUUACUAUUACUAUCUCCAAAAAAAAAAAAAAAAUCUGAAUUCAACCGUACAGUAACAGUAGAGAGAAACUGUAACCGUUACUCAGGAAUAGUGAACAAUACCGGCCGCCAUGCUCUUCUCAGUAACCUGUAACGAAACGCUGAUGACACCGGCCGGAGAGCCGCGACGGCAGAAGAUCGACGGAACGGAGAUCCAGUUCGGAAUCGGACAGCGACGGUGGAGCAAUCUUUCUGAUCGUAAUUCUGCUGCUGUUGCUGCUGUUGGGAGAUAUUCUUCUCGUCUUGUAGCAUCGUCGGCGGAGACGGAAGUGACGGCGGAGAUGGAGAGGAGACGAAUAGGUCUUUAAGCUUGUGGCGAACUUUGACUUCAUCGGAGGAAGGAGGAGGUGGAUCUAGGGGAGGAGGAUGGAAACGGCGGCGGUCGUGCGGACGAGUGAGGAACAUGCGGAGGGUUUUGCGGCGGCGGAGGUGGAUGACGGGACUGGUGGUGGGACUGCGUGUGGGGCUGUUGGCGAUGGCGCAUUGUGUAGCUAAGAGCUUGAAUUUGUGCAUUUAGGGAUAGAAUUAAAUGAAUUUGGGGUUUUUUGUUUUAUUUGUGAAGAGAGAUGAAGGUUAGAUCUGAGAAGGAUAGUGUUUGGAAUUAGAAAGUAGAAUGAGAAUAGAAUGAUUGGGUUGAGUAUUAUCGGGGGAAUAUUAAAGCUGUCUUUUCUUCUCUUGCCCCUAUCUCCUACUCUAAUCCUACUACUUACUACAUACUACUAGGAGUACAUCACAUAAUGGAAGGAAUUAUAUUUAGGCUAUGUUUGGCGAGAAACAUUUUUCAGCUUAUAACUUACUCACUCCGAGGUCACAUAUAUCAAUUAUUCAAUAAAUUUAAAAAAUAAUUUUUUUUUCUUAUAAUAGUGACAGAAGGAAGUAGUGUUUUUUUGGUAAAAUUGAUUUGUGUAAUAAUCGUCAUAUUCUUAUGAGUUUAUAAUUUAUUCUUAUUGACUUGUAGUGUUUUUUUAUAAGAUAACUUAACUGGCUUAUAGUUUAUCAUUUUUCAUCUUUAUUUUACCUUUGCUUAAUUGGAGAAAAAAAAUUAAAUAUUAAUGAAAUAAUUUUUUUGGUCUUUCAUAUUUAUAAGUUAGUUCAACGGUUAAUUUUAUCAAACACUACAAAUUCAAAAUAGUUAACUUAUCUGUUAUCAGCUAUAAGUUAGCAAACUCAAUUAUCGGGAUAAGUGAGCUAAUGCUCCAUAUAACAAGGAUAUUUUAUUUGAUGUAUUUGUAUUAAUUAUAUAUAUUUUUUAAAGACUAUUUUGGAAAGAAAGCGGAUAUACCAUGUCGAUUUUUCCGAUUACCGCACCGACCGAGAACAAUACUCGUUUUUAAACUGUAUAUUAUUCACAGAGAUUUUGUAUCUUAUUAAAGUGUUGUUUCAGAUUUAGAAACUGAGACGAAGACAACUAAUGACGUCGAAAGUUGUGGGGUUUGACAUUUUAGAAGCAUCUCUUCAUUGGGUUAGGUUGAUAGUUUGGAUAUUAGUAGACAAAAUGUAUAUAUAGUGUUCUUAUUUUGUUUGGGUUCUAUUUAUAAAGUGUUGACCUACGAUGAUUUAAACCAAUAAGAGAGUAAGUAUUAAAGAUAGUGUUCAAAAGCAAGUGUCGUUAGCAUUCCUCAAACAUGAGCUGAAUAAUCAUAUUAACAGCUAUUUCAACUAACAGAUUUAUAUAAUCAUUCUUUCUACUAACAAAAUUAUAUAAUCAUAUUAACAACUAUUUCAACUAAUUAUGAUCAGCAAAGAGCCUCUGUGUUGUUUAGUAAUAAUUAGUACAACUGCUGAAUAACAUGGCCUAAAUAUUCACCACUUGAUGUAUGUGGAUAUGUAUCAUUUACAGUAUCUUACAAAAUUCACCCGCCAAAGUAUAUCUGAAUCCUGAACAACAACUCUGGCCAUUCACUUGUGUGGUUAACCUCUUCAUCUUAGCAUUCCCCUAUUCUGAAAUAAGAUAAUGAAAAUUCAGCAGCUGUAUGUACUCACUCAAUUUAUUAUUUUCCUAUAGUCCUUUCAUUUAAAUCCUAACUUAUGUAUAUGUUAUACACAUAACAAAAAAGUAACAAUUAAAUUACUAUGUAUAUAUAUUUCAAAUACAUCAAACAAACUAAAAUAUUGGAAUAUUUACACUGAAAGUUUAUAUUAUUUCUAACUCUGAGACAGCUACUAAUAGUAAUACUAUUAUCAUACAUGCAAAAAAUAAUACUGUAAAAACACAUAAGCUUUUAGAAGAAAAGAUAUUUGAAGGCCAAAAUGACUUCUGAACUAGCUCAUUGAAACCAGUAGAGUAGUUUUACAUUUUACCAUCUAAAAUCUAAGUCCUCGCCAAAAGAAAAAUGAAAUCUUAGAACCUAUGAAGAAGUAGAUGUAGAAGAGCCGCUAACCCAUUUUUCAGCAACAGAAUCUGGUGAAGUUGGGUAAGGACCCUUCUUCAGAAGUACAAGCUCAUCUGUUCUGACAACAACAUCCAAUACUUUUGAUUCCUGUGUUUCAGGUUCAUCACUCUUGAUUGCUCGCAAUACCUCCACAAUCUCAUCCAUUGAAGGUCGCAGGUCUCUUUGUUGCUGCAAACACCUAAAUGCCAAUUCAGCCACUGCUGUUGUCAUCCUCUUCACAGAAUUGUCCUUUUCAUAUCCAAGAUUAGGAUCAACCAAAUCAUACAAUUCUUGGCUCUGAAUUUUAUUGACGGCCAUGUUAGCUAAGUUCACAUCGUUGCGAUGCCUGGUAAUAUCCACGGCUUGUAAUGAUGAUAUAAGCUCGACCAAGACUACGCCGAAGCUAUAAACAUCACUUUUGUCUGUGAGUUGGUAACACUGAUAGUACUCAGGAUCAACAUAACCAGGUGUUCCUUGUGGAGCUGUUGAUACAUGUGUGACAUCGUUCGGAAACAACCUUGAAAGACCGAAAUCAGCAACCUUAACAUGGAAUUUUUCGUCUAGGAGAAUGUUAUUCGAUUUAACAUCACGGUGCAUGACAUCCGAUGCAUGGAGAUAGGCUAGUGCCUCAGCUGUUUCUAAUGCAAUGUCCAAUCUUACAGACCAAGGAAGCAAACAGGAGCUUGAUCGGUCCCCAUGAAGAUGAUCAGCUACUGUUCCAUUUGAUAUGUAUUCAUAAACAAGGAGAAGCUCUCUGCUAUGUUUGGAGGUGCAUCCAUAGAGUGUCACCAGGUUCUUAUGCCUUAAGCGUGCUAGAAUCUCAACUUCAUUCAUGAAUUGCGCCACACGUUUAAAAUUGCUUUCGUAAUGGCGUUUAACUGCAACCACGCGUCCAUCUUUGAGAUCACCUGAUCAACAAUCAGAGGAUAUAUAGUUUAUAAGAAAACUAGAAAACUAAGGGAAAUCAAUUCUGUGAGAAAAUGUAUAUUGGAAAGUGGAAAUUAUAUUGUUAAUUACCUUUGUAAACAGUGCCGAAACCUCCCUCUCCAAGUUCUUUAGAAGUGUGGAAAUUGUUAGUAGCUUCUUCUAGUUCUUCAUAGGUAAAUACCUGGACACCAAAGUAGAAACUCUUUGGCAUUGUGCUGGUUUUGGAAGAGGGGUAAGAAGGAAUACUCUGAGACGAAUUAGUGGUGGAGGUUAGAGUGCCGGUGUUUGUGCCUGAGGUAGUGCUUGAAGGAGGCAUGUACAGGUCAUUGCUUAUUGGUUUCUUGGCAUUUUUCCUCCUUCGCCGCACCACAAAGCAUGCAACAAAGCCAAGAAGGCAAAGAGCUGCAACUCCUCCAACUACGCCACCUGAAGAUAAUGCUAGACAUUAGUAAAAUUUUACUUCUAAGAUCUAAAUUCAACCCAUCUAUUAGCAAAAUGGAAAUUACCUAUUAGACCGCCAUUGGUAGAGCUAUUACCUGCAACAUAAAAAAAUGAUGUCAGAACAAAGAAUAUGACAUGGAUAGAAAAGGGAUGGAAAAAAAUUAGCGGGCAAGUCUCAUGUUCUGUUGUUCCAAUAACAAUAAAACAUCUUAAGUUUUUGUUAUUCCAAUUAAUCAUCGUUAAUAUUCUGGUUUUAAAUUGCAGUAUACUACAAGAUAAAGAUUUUAGAGGUCUCAGCACCGACACCAUGAGUGGUUGCUUAAGGUAUAUUUAUCUGCAAUUUUUGCCAUAUAAAAAUCGCAAUGCAAUCACAGCUACAACCACAAUUUAAAUCAUGCUUAAAGUCAUUAGUUCUACAUGAAAUAAGAAUCAUCAACAAACACCAAACACAAUAGUUAACCAAAAGAAAAGCUAAAAUACCUGAAGGACACAACCCAUUACCACAAAUACAAAUAUGUUCGUUUUCAUCAGAAUCAAACCCACAUUGUUGGCCACCAGAACUAAUACACUCAAGACAAUCAUUCUCAAAAGGGUUGUUAUAAUUCACAUUAAACCCUUCCAUCAAAACCUCCCUAAGCAAAGAACGAUUACCAGCAAACCUAUUAGCUUGCUCUUCAAGAAUUGGCACCCCAACACCAUAAUCACAUUGAACAAACUUAAGAACUGGGUCUAAAGGAAAUGGACCAAUCAAAGUAUAUGAAUUGUUCUUAUAUCCAUUACUAUCACAGUAAAACAAAUUAUGUGGCUUUUCGGUGAAUAAUGAAGUGGGUUGGCACCCAUAAAACAAAGUAAUUUUACUGUUUCCCAAACCGUUGCUAAAGCUAGUUCCACCAAAAGUUGAGUUAACAUAAUGAUGGGUGCAUGUUUCAUUCCAAAGGUCUAAUCUUGCUAAGGUGAGAGAAUGAGUUACCGAGUUGACUUGAAGAACUCGGUAACUAACUGAGGAAAUGUUCAACUCUGGAACAUUGUUUUUGCAGUUCAGGUGAAACUGUGGUGGCCCACAGUAGGAAGGACGGUCGCCACCGGUGAAAGGGUAGGAAAGUUUGGUUAUGUGGCCACAGUUGAAGGUGGUGUUGUUGCAGCUAGAGAGUGAUGCAUGAGAGGGUAAAGAUGUCGUAUGACGGAGAUAGAAGAUGAAGAAGAUGAUGAAGGUGAUGAUGGGAGAAGAGAGGGACAAGGACAACAUAAUUUUGUUUCCUUAAUUUGGUUUUGUUGAAAUUUGCAAGCAUAGAAGAGUUGUUUUGUUACUUGUUGGGUUAGUAUUAUAAUGAGAUAAUAAUUAUCUAAUAGUUUGGACUGAAGAAAAAAAAUAAAGAACAGAAAACAUGAAGAUGAGUUUUGUUGACUUGGACUUUGAUGUCAUGUGAACAAUAUAUAAUCUAUAAACUGAGAUUUUUUAAGCAUUAUUUAGCAGCCAAGUGAGCCUUUUUCUAUUCAUUUUUUGUCCUGUUUGUAUUAUUUUAAAACAAUUGGCUGGUGGUAUAGUAAUAUAGUAUGUGGAAUUGAAAGGUAUAGUAUUUUAUGGUCAAGCAACAGUUUCUUAUUUGGUUGAAUGGAGGCUGUUCAAAAUCUAGAACUAUAUGGUUGAAAGGUAUUGGUCAAUAUAGAACACAUGGUUUGGAAGUUUUUGCAGGUUCAGAUGGUGGAAGUGUCUGCUUGAUUUUUUAUUUGUAUUUUUCUGGAGAGAAAGGGAAGAGGGGUUAGUUGGACUUGGUUAUAUUAGUUAAAUUGAACAGAUACAUGUAGUGACAUCAUUUGACAGGAAUAGUGGAACAUGUUCAAUGACAGUGGCAAUUGAGUUUAGUUUUAGAGAUUGAAUAUUUGGAGAAUUAAUAUAUAUGUCAUCAAUUCUAAAGUUUCAUUUUCAGAAAGAAAAAAAAUAAAUAGAGUAGCAGAAAUGGAAAAAAAAUCCAGUAUGGUUGUAUCUUCCAAUUUAUUCAUCUGUCAAAAUUUUCAUCCAAUUCAAAUUGUCUCUUACAUUUGCUAAAAAGAUAAUGAACUUUCAUGCCUAGUAAUGUUUAUGCAAGAAUUUUUAUACCUUGAGACUCUACCCUUUCUUUGCAGGAGGACUUUGUUGAGAGCAUAAGAAAUGGUUUGUGUUUAUAAAUGAGAGUCAUCUCUCAACUUAAAAGUUAGUUUUGUAGGGUUAAAUUAGUUCUAAAGCAAAUUUUAAGAUGGUAUCAAAGUCUAUCCAAGAUCUAUUUUCCCAUCCACUAUCAAGCUACGCAAGUCACGCUACAAAUAUCCAGUCUUAGGUGUGUGAGAUGAAAUACGGCCUAAUGAUAUGUUUAUGAGUGGAAGAUCUCUCACCUCACAAACUAGUUUUGUAAAGUUGAGUUAAAUCCAACCCAAAUUCUAAGAGUGUGUUUGGAUGGGGGAAUGUUUUGAGGGAAUGUAAUGUUAUGAGGGAAUUCAAAUACUUUGAGGUGAAUUCCAUUGUUUGAAUGGGGAAUGUAAUGUAAUGUUGAGGAAAUGUAAUGUUAUGAGGGAAUUCAAAUACUUUGAGGUAAAUUGUCUAGAAUUUUAAAUUCUUAAAUUUUCAAAUUACCUUAUCCAAACACACUCCAAGAGUUUUGAUGAUAAACUUGAUUUCCUUACUGCCCUAGUUUGUGUGGGUUUUCUUAUAAAAUACAUAACUAUAUACUAAACUAAUUGAAGUGGCCAAAUAUCCACCUUUGGAAAAAUAGGUUCAAGAUGGACAAAUCAACAUAAUUAGUUUACUCUAUAAAAAUCAUUUUAAUUUUCACCAAACGAAUAAAGCUACAAAGGCAAAAAGAAACCCAAUGCUAUCAAAAUAUCUUGUGAUAAAAAAGAGGUUAUUAAGAGUUAAGACCAACAACUUAAUCAAGGUGUCAAAGACUAUCAAAAUCGUAGAGACACCUACAAGACCAAAAAUAGAAUUCCUUUCAGAAGUCUUUAACAAGAUCAUCAAGAGACUCACAUCUACUAAUGCAAUAAAUUCUGCAUUUUGAAGGGGACAUGCAAAUCCAAAGUCAGAAAGGAGGAAUUAUUUGCAGAUAUUUGAUGAAAAAACGAAAAGAAUCUAAAUGAAAACAAGUCCUUAUUAGGAUUAUAAUUAGAAAAUCUAAGAGCUUGACGAGCUUCCAAGAUGAAAAGACAUUAUUGAAUGCAAAAACAUGACACAACAGUGGAACCUACAAUGGUGUUCACCUGAGCUACAUGAAUGUGGAAAGGAUCCAUCCUUGCAAAAGCAAGUGAAUUCCCUUGAACUUGACUCAUAACCACAGUGUCCACCAGAACUUUGACACUCAUGGCACAAACUAUUAUUUGCAUUCCACUCCACCCCAAAACCAUUAUCAAUAACAUCCUUCAAAUUUUCCACACUUGAAUUUGUUGCGACCCUUUCAGCCUCUGACUCCAAAAAUGGAACAACCACUCUAGAUUUGCAUGUUCUCAGUGUCUCACUAAACGAAUCCAAACUCUCGGCAUUAUCAGCAACGCUCUCCAACAUAAAAUAAUUAACCAUUUGAGUUCCAUUUAUACUACAGUUAAACUGCGGGGAAAAGCUAUCUGGCAUAAGAAAUGGGGUGUGAGGACAAUCAUAGUAGAGUGUCAAAUUAUGAGAAUCCGAACCAUAAUCGAAGAAAGUGCAAUCUAAUGUUGUGUUUUUAAGGCUGGUGGGACAAACAUUGUUCCAAUAAUCAGUUCUAACAACUUUGAGUCUAUGAUCUGAAUCACUGACUUCAAGAAUUUUAUAAUUUUGUGACAUAAUGGUAAUGCUUGCUAAUUCAUCUUUGCAUUGUAGCUCAAAAGAAGGGUGGCCACAAUAUUGUGGUCUACUUGAUCCCCAGAAAGGAUACCUCAAGUUUUUUAGGUUUGCACAGUCAAAUAAAGAACUGCAUUUAUUGUACUGCUGCAAAUUAUCAGCACAAGAUGAUGUUGGGAUUUUGAUUAGGAUUAUGGUUGUGAUCAAGAAUGAGAAGAUGCUUGGAUGAAGAAGUUGCAUCUUUAGUAAAAAUGGAUUUGUGGAGAAACAAAGGAUUUGGACACUGAAAUAGGAUUUUGCCAAGUUGAUGUGAGUUUGAUGAGUUUUAAAGUAUACUAGUAGUAUUGAAUUGAUGCAAAUGAAAAUUUAGGUCACCUAUAGUACUAAUAAUAUUUGUAUUUUCUGUUGGAAAUUAGUAUUACUUUACCUAACACUAGUAGAAAUGAGAGAAACUGUAAGAAUUGAUGCUUGGAGUCAAACAAUAAAUCAGUUUUCAAAUUACUAUGUCUAAAUACUCUAAACUACUCAAGCCUACCAAAUACUUAUGUGAUUCAUGAAUUAAUCAAAAGUCAAAAGUGGUGGGACAGUGACACGUUUCAACUUUUAACCAAUAAUAAAAAAAUAAAAGUAAAAAGUAAUCCCUAUAAAAAAAUGUAAUAAGUAUCAAAACAUUGAUAAAAGUCCCAAGUUUAAUAAGAUAUGGCAUGAAAAUGUGUUUAUAAGUGAGGACAAUCUUCAUUAAGAUUGAGUUAAACUCAACCCAAAGUUCUAAAAUGGUAUCACAAAUCUAUCUAAAAUCGUAUGAUAUCUUGUCAGCACUAUCGAAUCAUUCAGAUCACGAUUGAUACGUCCAAUUAUGACUGUGUGGAGGUUGCCAACGAUUUUAAUUCAGCAAAGGAGACUCUUUGACACGGUCAUAUCAUAUGGAUGGUGCCAAAAUUAGGCCACAUAAUAAUCCAAAUUAAAGAAUAUUGCUAGAGUUGGACCAAUUAAAACUCUAGGAUUUUCAAAGAUGUGACAACGUAAUAGUUUGGUGAAAAUCAUGUAGGAAAUGGUCAAGAGGAGAAAUUGUACGUAACCGAAAAAGUCAAGCAACUUAGUUCUGAAGGUAACAAGCAAUCUCCGACACAUUCUUCUUCAGGGGCCAUGGUGAAGAAUCAGUAAGAUGAAAAUUACCAUACUUAGAGUCUUUUAAUCUAAUUUUUUUAAUUAUAUUAUAAAUUAUAAGAAUUAUCUAUAUUUUAAGCCUAUGAAAAGUUGUUUUUUGACAGCAAAAGUUAAUAUUUUUUAGUGAUUGUACCAAAAGUUAAUUUUAGUAGUAAUUGUUAUCUAUUGAUAGUAAAGAAUGAACCUUCAUUCAAUUUUUUUGUCACUUUACUCCUUAACCCCCCAAACCAAUAUAACAUUCCCUUGAUUUUAUAGUAUUUGUUUUCAUCAUAAUUUUAUAGAAUAGAUAUCUUAAGAAACAUCUACUGAUAAAAUUUUCCUCAGAAGAAAAAAAUCUACCUGGUAAAAUCUGAUUGUAAAAAAGUUGAAACACUUAUUGGAUCAGGAUGAUCUCUAAAUUACUCUAUUAUUACUAUAACUAGUUGUAGAAACUAACUUAGGAGUUAAUUGUAUAAGAAAGUGAACUACAUACUUGAGGUUGGGGCCUUCCGUGAACCACAUAUAUCUGUAUAAGCUCCAUCAUUGCAGAAACAUCUGAAUUCAGUUCCAUUGUUGCCACACGCACCACCAGAAUCAACACACCUCUGGCAAUCUGCAUAAUUUCCCAUCCACCUCAAAUCAAAACCGCCUUGUAAUGCUUCGUUUAUAUCAUCAAGAUUUGUAAUUCUUGUUACCGAAAUUGGAAUCGCAAUAAUAACACUCAGAUUGCAUGUGAGUGAGAGCGAACGAGGAUCCGAAAGGGUGUACACAACUUCAAUAUUACCUCCGCAGUUGGCACUAUAAACCACAUUCAAUACAGUUGUAUCACAAUUGUAUAACAGAUUUAGUUGAGAAGAAACACUACCAUAAGGUUGAAACUGGUCAGCGCUCUCAAAUGUGCUGUUAUUAGGCUUGUCACUCACACUCACACUCACAGUACAAAUACCACCCCAGUAAUCGUCUCUAGCGACUGUGAGUUUCUGUGUUGUAUUGUCCCAUUCAAGAAUACGGUAUUUG
rnacentral:lncRNA from 1 species